GGUGGCCUGGUGGAUAAAGUCCCCAAGGCUGCGCUGCCCACCUGUGGGUGUCAGGGGCAGAGCUCUCCACCAUGGCCUGGGCUCCCCUCCUCCUCAUGCUCAUCACUCACUGCACAGGGUCCUGGGCUCAGUCUGCCCUGACUCAGCCUCCCUCAGUGUCUGGGUCCCUGGGACAGACGGUCACCAUCUCCUGUGCUGGAAGCAGCAGUGACAUUGGGGGUUAUAACUAUGUGUCCUGGUACCAACAGCAUCCGGGCACAGCCCCCAAACUCCUCAUUUAUGAGGUCAGUAAACGGCCCUCAGGGAUCCCUGAUCGCUUCUCUGGCUCCAAGUCUGGGAACACAGCCUCCCUGAGGAUCUCUGGGCUUCAGCCUGAGGAUGAGGCAGAUUAUUUCUGUGCAUCACCUUCCAGCAGUGGUACUUUCCACAGUGGUCCAAGUUCAUGGGGAAGUGAGACAAAAACCUCCAUCUUUGAUACCUGCCCUCUCUUUGGUUCAUCAGCAGGGCUGCAGGGGCUUCCACAAUUUAACCCACUCAAAAUGUUGUUGCUCCUUAAAAUGAACUUGAAAACAGAAGCCUUUACUCAGUAUCUUGACUUGGGAAAAUCAAAAUAAAAGAUCCCUCCUUCCUCUGAC